CUGGUUUUUUUGAAUUUUUUUCACGGUAGCUGUAAAAAUUACGCGUGUGACCGAAGUGCUUCGUUUGCCACGUUUCUAUCCUAGAGUGUGUACUUGACGCGUGUGACGCAUGGUAGAGCCUUCUCGAGGCUGUAGCGUUUUCCACGUGUGUUUUCUUAAGCGGUUUGCAUUUUGACCGGGUCUUCUGGGCUGUACGUGUCCUGCCCUGCCAUUCUGUACAUAUUUUUCUUGUCGCUCUCGAAACCUCGAGCCAAAUCCCGUGACACCGCUACGCCGCCCUUUCCCGAUAUAAAUGGGCAUCAGACGGACUCUCGCCUCAUCUCUCUCUCUCGGUGCCCGCUCCGGCCGCGUUGCAUCCCCAUCCCCUUUUCUCUUCUUUGCGGAUGCGCCCGCCCAGGUCGCCGGUGACCCUCAUCAUCGGAGACCUCCCCCCAGGUCGUCGCCGGAGGGAGUUGUCUCUUUGGCUAGGCUAGGGUCGUUGCCGAGUCGUGGAGGCGCCCCAGUUCCCCAUCUCCCCUCCUCAAUGAUGGAGAGGUGCGAGAUGGAUGUGGGGAGGAGCGGGCAUGGUGCAGCGGCCGAAGGAGGCGUUGGCCUGGCGGCGGCGGCGGGAGCGGUUGGAGGCGACCACGGGCAUCUGGUCGUCACGGCAGGGGGCGAUGUGGCUGCUCGAGGUCCGGUUCAUCUUGGAUGUCACGGAGGUAACCUAUAUCCGAGCAGUACUUCACUCCAAUCGCAUGACACGCUGCUCCCACAAGUGAGGCUAAAUCCCCAUAUUAUCCAUCCAAAUCUGUCGUGUUCUUUUAAUGAUGUGCUGUGAGAUUCAUGGUUGGGUGCAGACUCCUGCUUAAAGUUUUCGAUCUACACAGUUUCCGGGAUGGAUGAGUGGUGUGACUAAUUUGUUUCUGAAAAUUCCAAGGUUUCCAUGUGGUUUCAGUAAAAUUUGUUGAUUGGGAUAAGUUUGAUUAGUCUGAUGAUUUUGUUGUUUCUUACUGUCAAGAAAAGGUUGAUCUCAUGUUGUUUAUUUUUUAGUAUAUGGGAUUUAUUUUGUAGGACAGAAUUUUGCAGUGGGCACGAGUGGUAAGAACUGACAAUUAAUUGACUUAAUUAAUUACAAGUGUUUGCAUUAUGUAUCAGUUCAGUUUUUAUGUAUGCCUACGUGCAGUCCUUGCCUCAUUGGACAUGUUUUCACUCUCAUAUGGUGAGCCUCAGUGGCCUGUAGCCGCCAGCGUGCCCUCUCGGUGCCUGCCGGUGCAAGCAGGCGUCAACGGGGCAGAUGGCGGCCAUGUACACUGGCAGCGCCAAUAUUCAUGCACUUGAAAAACCUCGGACAGUGAAGAACAUUGGAGUGCAUGGGUACAUUCUUUAUUCUUGAUAUAAUGGUAGGAAGUAUGUAAAUAAUGUUUUUUGUAUUGACACUGACAAAGCUUAUGCAUGAGAUAGAGCUUCAUUGUACAUUACUUUGCAGGUUUCAAGCCUUUUGAUGGAAGCUCAUGUAUCUUCCUAGGCUGAUGGACUCUGGUGCUUGAUGAAUGUUGCCCAGCCCUAGACCUCUCUUAAGUUUUGCAUAAAUACAUCAUCUGGGCUAAUCAAUUUAUAUGAAAACAAAUCAGUAGUGAUUUCGUCAAAUAUAUGGGUUAUUUUGAUGACAGUUAGCUCCUCUCCCUAGCUGAUCAAAUCAACUAUUUUAAUCUCAUUGAACAACUAGAUGAAUUGAGGUGCUAAUUAAAUUAAUAUGCGCCCACCAGUUUAUUAGGUACUAAUUGAAUUAAUAUGCUCUCACAGGUUUAUUAGAGGAUAACUAAAACGAACAUUCUUUGGCUGACAUUUGAAGUAAGAUUUAAAACAACCUACAGAACAAACUGGAGAGGGUACACAUCAGAUGGCUCCCUCCCAUGGAGAAUGAACUGAAGAUUAAUAUUGAUGGCGCUUUCCACCCUGAACCAAACACCGGUGGUUGGGGUGCAGUCAUCAGGAAUCAUAAAGGAGAGGUAAAAGUACGUGGAUUAGGGAGAUUGGAGAAUGUUAUUAACCCCUUACAUGCCGAGAUCAGGCUGUUAUACGGGGUGCCUAGCUAGGAAUUGAUAAAGGAGUGAGAGCCAUUGGCCUUGAAACAGAUUCAGUGCUGCUGAAGCAAGGGGUAAACAAUAAUGAAUGUGGCCUCUCUGCUGUCUACCUAGGCUUAGAGGAGCUCAAGGAAUAUCUGAAGCAAAAAACUUUGAAGUGUGUCGUUUUACUUCUGCUAGGAGGAACUGUAAAUAAGUAGGCCAUUGUUUUGCUAGCUAUGGUAGUACCUUAAGCAUGUAUGAUCAUCUUCAAACAGAUCAUGUAAUUCCACUUGUAUCGGACCUGGUGGCGACUCUUCUCUAAUUUCUGCAUACAUCUCCCCUA